AUACCUUUUUCAGCCUUUUGGCUAAGAUCAAGUGUAGCAUUUGUUUGUAUUAGUUUAAUUUUGAUACGUAAACCAAUGGUUCAUAUGAUAUUAAAUUAAUUUUUUGUAGGGUAAGAUUAUUAUAAUAGCUUGCUAUUAGGCUUAUUGAGUGUUGCCCAAGUGUUGCACCAUAGCAUGGGCUCGGCGUACCCCAC